rfam:Gossypium raimondii Chr06_contig_386, whole genome shotgun sequence.
GGGUGCAAUCAUACCAGCACUAGAGUGUCGUAUCCCAUCAGAACUCUACUGUCAAGCGUGCUUGGGCGAGAGUAGUCUAGGAUGGAUGGCCUCCUGGGAAGUGUUCGUGUUGCUUCCC